GAAUUCACGUGCGCAAUGCGUGAGAUUAUGCGAAUCUCACGUGUACGUCGGUCACCGUUGACACCCGAGACCUUACUCCAGCUACCAAAACUCCCCGGCUGCCCUAAAAAAAAACCCAAGUCUUCCCUGCUCACGCCCACAUUCCGACCGCAGCCGCACAAGCUGUUCUCCAUUUGGCAAACCGCGGGAGCGCCGGGGAGCGUGCGGUUCAGUGUUCACAGCUCACGGCACGUCACCGGGCGUGGCCCUCACCAGGUCCAGGGUGGUGCUCUCCAGCACGUCCACCAGCUUCUCCAGCUUGGUGCUGCCCGUGAAGAUGAAGUCGUCGUCCACCCACAGGACGUACUUGGUGGUCACCUGGGAAACGGCCAGGUUCCGCCCCGCGAACCAGCCCUGCGGGGGAGGGUGGGAAAAGAGUCCGAAACACUGCCAGUCAUUAUGCUGUUCCUACGUUUUUUCAUUUAUCUCAAAAAAAAAGUGUGUGCAGCUGUUUCUCCGUUUCCUCUCCCUCAAACUCCCACAGUUCAUUGCUAAGUCUUUGUCUACCAUGUCUCGUGAAAUUCUUAAUGGGAAUCGUGUUACUAAUGUAGUGCCAAAUCAUAAAUUAAAAUUAAAUGAGAAGCCAA